rnacentral:rRNA from 1 species
GAUGAACGCUGGCGGCGUGCCUAAUACAUGCAAGUCGAGCGAACAGAUGAGGAGCUUGCUCCUCUGACGUUAGCGGCGGACGGGUGAGUAACACGUGUAUAACCUACCUAUAAGACUGGGAUAACUUCGGGAAACCGGAUCUAAUACCGGAUAAUCUAUUGAACCGCAUGGUUCAAUAGUGAAAGACGGUUUUUGUGUCACUUCUAGAUGGUUCCGCGCCGCAUUAGCUAGUUGGUAAGUUAACGGGUUACCAAGGCAACGAUGCGUGGCCGACCGGACUGGGUGAUCGGCCACACUGGAAGUGAGACACGCUCCAGGGUCCUACGGGAGGCAGCAGUAGGGAAUCGUCCGCAGUGGGCGGAAGUUUGACGGAGCAACGCCGCGUGAGUGAUGAAGGUCCUCGGAUCGUAAAACUCUGUUAUUAGUGAUGAACAAAUGUGUAAUUAAAUAUGGACGUAUUGACGGUACCUAAUCAGAAAGCCACGGCUAACUACGUG